AGUGAACGCUGGCGGUAUGCCUAACACAUGCAAGUCGAACGGCAGCACAGUAAGAGCUUGCUCUUACGGGUGGCGAGUGGCGGACGGGUGAGGAAUACAUCGGCAUCUACUUUUUCGUGGGGGAUAACGUAGGGAAACUUACGCUAAUACCGCAUACGACCUACGGGUGAAAGCAGGAGAUCUUCGCACCUUGCGCGAUUGAUUGAGCCGAUGUCGGAUUAGCUAGUUGGCGGGGUAAAGGCCCACCAAGCCGACGAUCCGUAGCUGGUCUGAGAGGAUGAUCAGCCACACUGGAACUGAGACACGGUCCAGACUCCUACGGGAGGCAGCAGUGGGGAAUAUUGGACAAUGGGCGCAAGCCUGAUCCAGCCAUACCGCGUGGGUGAAGAAGGCCUUCGGGUUGUAAAGCCCUUUUGUUGGGAAAGAAAAGCAGCAGGUUAAUACCCCGCUGUUCUGACGGUACCCAAAGAAUAAGCACCGGCUAACUUCGUG
rnacentral:rRNA from 1 species